UUGCAUCGGAUGAUCCGGACCCCAAAACCAAAACCAUAUUAGGGAUAUUUAAAUUAUAUCAAACCACCGAAUAUUCAAUGAUCUAUCAAUCCCAUUUUAAAUUUUUAUGAAAAUUUUAAAAAAAGCUCAGAAACCAAAUAUUGUUUUGAGAUGUGUGGAUCAAAUCUCAGUUGUUUGUUUUCUUAAAAAUUAUGUACAACAUAUAUUUUGUAAAGAGCAAUUAUUAUUAUCAGGAACAAAUAAAGGUCUCUUAAAUUUAUGGAGUUUGAUGGAUGAAACCUAUCUCUUGAAAAUGGAAGCUCAUAAUAAAUCUAUUUUGCAUAUUGUUGAAAUAUAUAAUAAGGACCAGAUAAGCUUAAUAUUUACACAGGCUAUUGGUGGUGAAUGCAAAUUAUGGGAUUUUGAAUCAUAUUCUCUGACAUUAAGAUAUAAAUUUAAUAUAGAUUAUCAUGGAUUUUGUAAGGGAGUUAUAUCUAAUGUUGAAAUAAAUCAAAAUAAACUUCAAUAUUUAAUUAUUCCAUCUGAAAAUGAUAUUAUAACUUUUUAUGAUCUGAAAUUUCAAACCAUAAUUAAAAAAUAUU